GCCGGCGUGGCGGAAUGGCAGACGCGACCGACUCAAACUCGGUUACUCGAAAGGGUGUGUGGGUUCGACUCCCACCGCCGGCACCA
rnacentral:tRNA from 3 species